GAGGAGCAGCUGGUGGAGUCUGGGGGAGGCCUGGUGCAGCCUGGGGGGUCUCUGAGACUCUCCUGUGCAGCCUCUGGAUUCACUUUUGAUGACUAUGGCAUGAACUGGGUCCGCCAGGCUCCAGGGAAGAGGCUGGAGUGGGUCGCAUACAUUAUUGAUAGUAGUGGUAGUACCAUAUCCUACGCCGCCUCAGUGAAGGGCCGCUUCACCAUCUCCAGAGACAACGCCAAGAACACGCUGUAUCUGCAAAUGAACAGCCUGAGAGCCGAGGACACGGCCGUGUAUUACUGUGCGAGAG